UACGUAGGGUGCAAGCGUUGUCCGGAAUUAUUGGGCGUAAAGAGCUCGUAGGCGGUUUGUCGCGUCUGCUGUGAAAACCCGAGGCUCAACCUCGGGCCUGCAGUGGGUACGGGCAGACUAGAGUGCGGUAGGGGAGAUUGGAAUUCCUGGUGGUAGCGGUGGAAUGCGCAGAUAUCAGGAGGAACACCAAUGGCGAAGGCAGAUCUCUGGGCCGUAACUGACGCUGAGGAGCGAAAGCAUGGGGAGCGAACAGG
rnacentral:rRNA from 1 species